AUAUAUUGCCUUAGCUGUCUCUCUCUCAUUUUGGUUUUCUUGGUUGUUUUUCUCCCUCUUCUCCCUGAGGUUUGGGGGGGAUGACUUCUUGUGGUAUGGUUUGGAGACUUGGCAGGGAGUCAGCUUCAAACCAUAUCAACUUCUUUAAUCCAGCCAAUUUCAGAAAAAAUGUACAUUAUCUAGAUAAAUUUUCACAAAGUUUUCAAAGGAGAUGCCCAUUUUAAAAAACAGCUGUCCCUGAGCAUUAACCUGGUCACAAGCAAUUCAUUUUCCCCAUCUUUUAGGUUAAAAAAAAAAAAAUCUUCUCUUCAUCAAGUCAGCCCUCUCUAGCCUCCUUAAAAUAAAGGAUAGAAAUACCAAUAAAAGUAGAUGGAUCCUCUAUCCACUGCAGCAACAGCAAAUAUAAUGAUUUCCAGGAGCCUGGUCUGAGCAAAAGCCUGUUAAAAACAGGAGAACAACACAGGUGUGCCAGUAGCAGAGCUAAUGAGCAGCACAUGUUUUCAGUUAAAACUCUUAAUUUAAAGCCUCUUCUAAGCCAGGAAAAUCUCAGGAAUGGAGAUAACAGGCAAUCAAUGACCCUGUCAGCUAAGAAAUCAAGAUUGGAAGUCAGUUUUAUUACCAGUGUUUUGCCAGGCUUAUACUUAUGGGCUGUUUUUUAUUUAUUCCACAGAGAAAAAGUGAUGCUUUUGUAGUCACAUUAUCUAGGAAGAAUAUCCAAGAGAAACAACAGGAUGAGGAAAGGCUUUGAACUCUUGUGUGCAGUCACACUGCUUUACCUUAUACUGUAUCUCAUUAACUUAUUUUACCCAAAGGCUGAGAACAGUAUUAGGGUAAUAGAGACUGAAUAAAGUUUGUCUUGCAUGUACCUGUUAAUUGUCCUAUCUUGGGUUUAACCUAUGCCAAUAAGUUCCAUGCCAGAGCGAUUACAAACUUAUUCAUGUGAUCAGAAGAGAUUUGGUCUCAUUCCACUGGUGCACAGACAACUACAAGUCUAGAAGCUUUCUGUACUCUUUCACUGCAGCUUUUGAAGGAAAAACAUGUUGGCAACUCACUGUGACACAGAACUUUAAACAGUAAUUAAUAAGCAUCUGCUUCCAGCAGCUUCUUCUGCUUUAUCCUUUCAGAGAUGGAGAAGUAAAGAUAGAGCACAGACUCAUGAAGAAACAGGAAAACAUGGAGACAGGACAGAAAAAAAAGGAGAAAUAAAAUCUAAGAGCCCUCUUGAAGCAGGAGGAAGCAUCUACAUAUAUCACCUUGUCUAAAGCAUCCCUGCCCCUUCCUAAGGGCUUUGACAGGACAGAUUUAAAGCCUUUUCCUAAAGACACCGCCAUUACUUCUACAAAGGAACUGGAGAUUUCGGAAGACAACCUUUGCAUAAUGGAAGGAACAUUUUACAACUGGAAACACCUCUAUAACUCCCUACUCAAAGCUUCCCUCACUAUUGCCAAGUGCAAAAAACUGAAAAUGUGGUAUUGCACCAAGAAGAGUGUCUUGGGCAUAGACAAAACCUACGCCCAGUUUGAAGACGGGCCUUCAGGAAAACUGCUCAGAUGCCCUUGGCUAGAGUCAUCCAGCUCAAAAGCACAGAGCCACUCCAGCUCUGUAGGCAUUUGUUGCCUCCAGCUGCCCAGUGCUUGGGAUGGGUUUCCAAUUUCUGAACUGUGCCUAGUUUCCAAGGAACAUAGGGACAAAUUCAGCAUCCAGUGUCAAAGAGGAUCACAAAUUACAGGAAUGAACACCCAGGACAUUAUGAGCUACGUGCUCAAAUAUCGAAUACAAUGGUUGUAGAGGUCAAAUUGCUGCUUGAAUGAGUUUCUCAAACUUGGAUUCUCCUAGAAUGGAGGCAAUAGAUGCAGUAUACAUGAAAGGGAUUGCCUCUCCAGCCUCUGGUUGCUCAAUACUGAAGAGAUCCCAUGACAUGGUAUGAUGUCUACUGGGCUGUGUUAAGCUUAUUAGGAACUAGGCAGAGAUGUUGGCAGAUCUACACUUUGUUUUAUCAGAAUUCCAGUUCUUCUUUGCUUAAAGGGAGCACUUAAAACAUACAAAAAUCAGUCACAUUUUGGGGUUAGAGAAAUGCAGGUGACAAGCUUACAAGAAGCUUAUGUCUCAUAAAUACCCACAUUCUGUUUUGAAAAAUCUAGUAGAUUUUAAAGGUCCUGCCUACGUAAAGAUUGUAUUUGCAUCAAGAACUACUCUGUUGAUAAAUAUGUAGUUGUUCCUUGAUUUCUGUCUGAAUUCUUUUUCUCUUUAGCUAAUAAUUUUAUUAGAAAUGGACUUUAGAUAAUCCUCUGAAGUUGUUUGUUUUGGUCCACAGAAAUAAAUUGGUUUUGUAAAAUGGGACAGCGAUGCAUCUAUCUUGCAAGUGUGGGAAAUUAUUUCUCUAGCUUUAAUUUUUACAUAAACAUGUUUUUAGAAAGAUGGAUUACUUUUAUGGGGUAGCUUCAAAAUAUAUUAAAUGUCAUAAAUCUUUGUCUGUAGAGAUCAUAUUCAGGAGAGAUAGAUUCUAAAUGAAUAGAUUUUAUUAAUGCAGAGGAAUUUAAAACAGUCAUGACAAAAGGUAUUUUAGAAGCGGCUGCAAAUGAAAUGUUUAUGCUAAACUUUUCUCCUGACUACCCCCACCAUACACCAAAUCCUUAUUCAAACUCACUUAUUAGAAAUUGAAAGGUUUGCUUUCUCCAAAUCAGAGGAUUUUUCAGAUAUUAAACUUUCUUGUAGAGUAUUAGAUUUUUUAUUAUCUCAUCUUACCAUUUGCCAGAAUGCUUAGUGCAUGUCUUUCUCUAGCUGGAUAAAUGAAUAAUGACUACUGACUUCAUCUAUCAACCUGAAGAUCAAUGCUCUUAAAAAGCCAUCAAGUAAAUAACAAAACACAUUGGUAGACAAAAAACCCAAAUGUCUACAGAAAGUGGGACUAGUGCAUAAAUCAUGCAUACAAACAAAUAAUAAAUAUGAUGGCUAUGCUCUCUAAUAAACAAAGAAAGUGACAAUUAUAAGGCUUAAUAAUUUCAGUCCCAUACACUUUUAUUUGAUUCUCUCAAGGCUUACCUAACUCAGACCAUUUUCUUCACCUCUGUUGCUCGAGGGAAUGACAGAAUGUACAACAUACAAUUCUGUCUCUUUCAGCAGUAGUUUCACAAUGAAGGUCUUGGAUGCUGAUGACAUCAAAAGUGACUUGGCUCUGGGAAGGAAGCAGCAUGAACAUCAGCAAGUUCUGGAAACCCUGCAGAAGUGGACACGCCAGCUGGAGAUCAGAAGUGUGGAGGUGUGCUAGAGUUGUACAGAAGCACUGAAAAGUUGGACAUAGAGGUUACAUGGCAUGUUUCUGUUCGGAUUAGUACAUCUUUCAAAAUCUGCAUGACUGGAAUUAUCAAGGAUGAAAAGAUCUUUCUGUAGAUCUUCACUCAGCAAAAGAAUCCAUAUGUUGCAAUCUCCUGAUGAAUCAUUGCAGCUGUUCUGGAAAUUACCUGCACAAAACAGCUUACACUGUUAAGGUCUCACAUUUAGCCAGGGUCUGCAACAUGUCCUAAAAGUAUCCUUCUUUCAAAAAAUUUUUUCUUCUUCUAAA